UACGUAGGGAGCAAGCGUUGUCCGGAAUCAUUGGGCGUAAAGCGCGCGUAGGCGGCCCUGUAAGUCCGUUGUGAAAGUCAAAGGCUCAACCUUUGAAAGCCGAUGGAUACUGCAGGGCUAGAGUCCGGAAGAGGCGAGUGGAAUUCCUGGUGUAGCGGUGAAAUGCGCAGAUAUCAGGAGGAACACCGAUGGCGAAGGCAGGUCUCUGGGCCGAUACUGACGCUGAGGAGCGAAAGCGUGGGGAGCGAACAGG
rnacentral:rRNA from 1 species